rnacentral:misc_RNA from 1 species
UUUCCGUUGGUGAACCAGCGGAAGGAUCAUUACAGAGAUCAUGCCCUCACGGGUAGACCUCCCACCCUGUGUUAUAUACUCUUGUUGCUUUGGCAGGCCGCCUUCGGGCUCCCGGCUUCGGCUGGGGUGUGCCUGCCAGAGGACCCCAACUCUGUGUUUAGUGUCGUCUGAGUAUUAUAUUAAUACGUUAAAACUUUCAACAACGGAUCUCUUGGUUCUGGCAUCGAUGAAGAACGCAGC